CCAAAAUUUCAAAUUACAAACUGACUCCUGCUUGUUGCGUUACUAUUUUGUAUUUUAUCCUGUUUUCUGUAUUGUGCGAUACUCUAGUAAGCACGUCGAGUCGAGCUUUAAGUUUCUCUGGCAUACUGUCGGGAUUGGUUACUCGGUUGUACAGUGUAAAUUGGUGUUUUAAGACUGCGAAAGGACGCUAUUUCGUAUUUUUGUGAUUUCGGUCACAAUGCCUAAACGAUGUGUGUUUGGUUGUUCACCUUGUGAUGAUUAUCUUCAUUCAUUUACAAACCCUAAAAGAUUCCGUCAGCAAUUGAAUUUCUUGGUCAGCUAUUAAGAAACAAAUAUAUCGUCAAUAGCAAUUGAAUUUUCAUUGUCUUACUUAUUCCUCCAUGAAAAGGUUAACUACUGUGUGUUACUCAAUGUCUUAUAAAGAUUUUAGUGGUAAAUUGUUUAACUUUCAUGGAAAACUUCCUUACUCUAGUGAAAUGGUCAGACAGGAAAUGCAACUGAACACCCAAUUAGACGCAGGUUGUUCUGAAAAUAAUAUUAUAACACUUUUGAACAUAUACCAGGACAAAGCUACCACCAGCAGCACCAUUGAAGAUAUCUAUAUUAAGUCGUCCA